ACCAGAUUCUAUCCUAAUAGCUUGUUUUAGAGCCAGUGUCACACUUCACACCCUAUUCUGGACACUCUCCAACAAGUUAAUGUCUUCUACUGAGGAAGAGCAGUGCUUGCAUGGAGCCAAGGACAUUUCACUGCCUCUUGUUGCCCUGCCUAUGAGGGGCAGCACCAGGACAGCAGACACAGACUGGCCUCAGGGAUGUCCUGUACCAUGUGGCAUCAUGCUCAGCAAGAAAAACAGAGGGUGGAAGGCAGCUCAGCUGAGAAAAUGACCAACUGAAACAGCAGCAAAUGAAGCAACCCAAUGAAAGUGGCUUCAUCACCAAGCAGAUGAGUUGAAAAAGGGAAAGGAAUGAAUGAAGUUCAAAGAAUUUGGGAAGAAAGGUUAUCCAAAAACCAGCCUAUAUCUUGAUAAUCUUCAGGCCAACGCAGAUAUCGACUCCUUUGUAAAAAAAUUCGAAUUGGUUUGUGUUUCAUCAGUUGAUAUUGAGAAAGUGACCCAACCACUACCAUAAUGAGAACCUCUUUCAAAUCACUGAAGUACCUGCUCUGGGCAAAAUUAAAGGCUUCUACACACCACCCAUCUUUGAGAAACUGCCUGGUCACAACACAAAUUGUUUUCCUGCUCUUCCAAAUAGCAUCACGAAUAUUGUUGAUAUGUUCUUCCCCAGGCAAGAAAUCUCGUUCCUCAAAGCACAAGGUGGAUGGCUUCCUAUCAAAGUUUUGGUGAUGGUCUUAUACCAGACAAAACAAAUCCCCCGACAGCGAGUAAAAAUAAUGGUUGACAUCAGAAACAUCAGAAGGGUGACAGAUAGGAAAACGAAUACCGAGAACCUGAGUGUCUGCUGGAGUUCAUCUUCAUCGCAGUCAUCGUAUGUCAGAAAUGACACGGGUACACCCGCUAAUGCAGGUUCACAGCUUUCAAGAUGGUUAGAUUAUAAAAUAAGGGGUGUGGAUGAAGUUUUGUGAUUUGGUUUCCUGAAAGAUCCAAUUCUUCUAAUGAUCUCAAGUCUUGAAAGUAACGCUCCUCCAGGAUGGAAUCUCCAAGGUUGUUCUGAAACAGACGGAGUAUGGUCAAACGUUGCAAACCCGCAAAAGAAUCAAGAUCCAGCAGAAGAAUGUUAUUGAACCCCAGGUCCAAGACACGAAGAUUUGGCAGGUUCCUGAAAGCUUCUUUUCCUAUGUAAAGAGGAAAGACGCGUUGUGUUCCAAUUUCCAACAAGAACAAAUCCUCCAGCAGUGGAAAUGAAGUUGCAGUCACUUGUCUGAUAUAGUUGUAAGUUAGAAAAAGCUUUGCAGUGUCCUUUGGCACAGGUGGAACACCUGUGAGGUUGCAAGAAUUAUACAUGGAGACCUGAUCUUCUGAAUAGCAGCUUCUAGAUGCACAUAUAUCUCCAGCUAGUGCUAUUCCAAAGACAAUUAUUAGCCGUUGAUGUAACAUCAUGAAUCUGCAUGAAAGAAAUUAAAAUAUUAAGAUUAAUUCUGCUAUUGACUGUGCACUAAGUUGUAUAGCAGCUUUUUAACAGCUGUAGAAUAAACGACUACUGUCACACUAAAAAUGA